GAUGAACGCUGGCGGCGUGCCUAAUACAUGCAAGUCGAGCGAACAGACGAGGAGCUUGCUCCUCUGACGUUAGCGGCGGACGGGUGAGUAACACGUGGAUAACCUACCUAUAAGACUGGGAUAACUUCGGGAAACCGUAGCUAAUACCGGAUAAUAUAUUGAACCGCAUGGUUCAAUAGUGAAAGACGGUUUUGCUGUCACUUAUAGAUGGAUCCGCGCCGCAUUAGCUAGUUGGUAAGGUAACGGCUUACCAAGGCAACGAUGCGUAGCCGACCUGAGAGGGGGAUCGGCCACACUGGAACUGAGACACGGUCCAGACUCCUACGGGAGGCAGCAGUAGGGAAUCUUCCGCAAUGGGCGAAAGCCUGACGGAGCAACGCCGCGUGAGUGAUGAAGGUCUUCGGAUCGUAAAACUCUGUUAUUAGGGAAGAACAAAUGUGUAAGUAACUAUGCACGUCUUGACGGUACCUAAUCAGAAAGCCACGGCUAACUACGUG
rnacentral:rRNA from 1 species